UCGGGAAUAUUGCGCAAUGGAGGAAACUCUGACGCAGUGACGCCGCGUGCAGGAAGAAGGUUUUCGGAUUGUAAACUGCUUUAGACAGGGAAGAAACAAGACAGUACCUGUAGAAUAAGCUCCGGCUAACUACGUGCCAGCAGCCGCGGUAAUACGUAGGGAGCAAGCGUUAUCCGGAUUUAUUGGGUGUAAAGGGUGCGUAGACGGGAAAACAAGUUAGUUGUGAAAUCCCUCGGCUUAACUGAGGAACUGCAACUAAAACUAUUUUUCUUGAGUGUUGGAGAGGAAAGUGGAAUUCCUAGUGUAGCGGUGAAAUGCGUAGAUAUUAGAAGGAACACCNGUGGCGAAGGCGACUUUCUGGACAAUAACUGACGUUGAGGCACGAAAGUGUGGGGAGCAAAC
rnacentral:rRNA from 2 species